rnacentral:misc_RNA from 1 species
GCAAACUUGGUCAUUUAGAGGAAGUAAAAGUCGUAACAAGGUUUCCGUAGGUGAACCUGCGGAAGGAUCAUUAUCGAGUUAGGGUCUUCUCCAGGCCCGACCUCCAACCCUUUGCCUACUUGACCUUUAGUUGCUUCGGCGAGCCCGCCACCUUGAGAUAUAGGUGGUCGCUAGAGGAGGUUCUCCUCUAGCUCGCGCUCGUCGAUAGCCAUUCUUAAACUCUUGUUUAACUGUGUCGUCUAAGCAAUCAUGUAAUUAAAAGCAAAACUUUCAACAACGGAUCUCUUGGUUCUGGCAUCGAUGAAGAACGCAGC